rnacentral:rRNA from 1 species
GACCUCAAAUCAGGUAGGACUACCCGCUGAACUUAAGCAUAUCAAUAAGCGGAGGAAAAGAAACUAACAAGGAUUCCCCUAGUAACUGCGAGUGAAGCGGGAAAAGCUCAAAUUUAAAAUCUGGCAGAUGUUUGUCUGUCCGAGUUGUAACCUAGAGAAGUGUAACCUGUGCUGGACCRUGUACAAGUCUCCUGGAAUGGAGCAUCAUAGAGGGUGAGAAUCCCGUCUUUGACAUGGACUACCAGUGCACUGUGGUUGCGCACUCAACGAGUCGAGUUGUUUGGGAAUGCAGCUCUAAAUGGGUGGUAAAUUCCAUCUAAAGCUAAAUAUUGGCGAGAGACCGAUAGCGAACAAGUACCGUGAGGGAAAGAUGAAAAGAACUUUGGAAAGAGAGUUAAACAGUAUGUGAAAUUGUUGAAAGGGAAACACUUGAAGUCAGCUGCAUUGGCUGGGGAUCAAGCCAGCUUAUUUGCUGGGUGUACUUCCUGGUUGAUGGGCCAACAUCAGUUUUGACCAUCAGAGAAAGGCUAAGGGAAUGUGGCACCUU